rnacentral:rRNA from 1 species
GGACUACCAGGGUAUCUAAUCCUGUUUGCUACCCACGCUUUCGCGCCUCAGCGUCAGAUAAGGUCCAGUUUGCUGCCUUCGCCAUGGGUGUUCCUCCUGAUAUCAACGCAUUUCACCGCUACACCAGGAAUUCCACAAACCUCUACCUUCCUCAAGUCUGCCAGUAUGAAAAGCAGUUUCCGGGUUGAGCCCUGGAGAUUUCACUUCUCACUUAACAGACCGCCUACGCGCUCUUUACGCCCAGUAAAUCCGGACAACGCUUGCUCCCUACGUCUUACCGCGGCUGCUGGCAC